AGUUGCGAACGAGUGAGUAACGCGUAGGUAACCUGCCUGGUAGCGGGGGAUAACUAUUGGAAACGAUAGCUAAUACCGCAUAACAGUAGAUAUUGCAUGAUAUCUGCUUGAAAGGUGCAAUUGCAUCACUACCAGAUGGACCUGCGUUGUAUUAGCUAGUUGGUGAGGUAACGGCUCACCAAGGCGACGAUACAUAGCCGACCUGAGAGGGUGAUCGGCCACACUGGGACUGAGACACGGCCCAGACUCCUACGGGAGGCAGCAGUAGGGAAUCUUCGGCAAUGGACGGAAGUCUGACCGAGCAACGCCGCGUGAGUGAAGAAGGUUUUCGGAUCGUAAAGCUCUGUUGUAAGAGAAGAACGAGUGUGAGAGUGGAAAGUUCACACUGUGACGGUAUCUUACCAGAAAGGGACGGCUAACUACGUGCCAGCAGCCGCGGUAAUACGUAGGUCCCGAGCGUUGUCCGGAUUUAUUGGGCGUAAAGCGAGCGCAGGCGGUUAGAUAAGUCUGAAGUUAAAGGCUGUGGCUUAACCAUAGUACGCUUUGGAAACUGUUUAACUUGAGUGCAAGAGGGGAGAGUGGAAUUCCAUGUGUAGCGGUGAAAUGCGUAGAUAUAUGGAGGAACACCGGUGGCGAAAGCGGCUCUCUGGGCUUGUAACUGACGCUGAGG
rnacentral:rRNA from 1 species